GACGAACCGUGCGAACGUUGUUCGGAAUCACUGGGCUUAAAGGGCGCGUAGGCGGGCUGCCGCGUCCGGGGUGAAAUCCCACGGCUCAACCGUGGAACUGCCUCGGAUACGGGCGGUCUUGAGGGGGGUAGGGGCACGCGGAACUGUGGGUGGAGCGGUGAAAUGCGUUGAUAUCGCUUGGAACGCCAAAGGUGAAAACAGGUUGCUGGGGUUGUGCCGACGCUGAGACACGAAAGCCAGGGGAGCAAACGGG
rnacentral:rRNA from 1 species